UACAGAGGUGGCAAGCGUUGUUCGGAAUUACUGGGCGUAAAGGGCGCGUAGGCGGUUCGUUAAGUCCUGUGUGAAAUCCCCCGGCUCAACUGGGGAACUGCACAGGAAACUAGCGGGCUUGAGUUCGGGAGAGGGAAGCGGAAUUCCGGGUGUAGCGGUGAAAUGCGUAGAUAUCAGAAGGAACGCCGGUGGCGAAAGCGACCCACUGGAUCUCUACUGACGCUGAGGCGCGAAAGCUAGGGGAGCAAACGGG
rnacentral:rRNA from 1 species